CAAUAGCGUAUAUUUAAGUUGCUGCAGUUAAAAAGCUCGUAGUUGGAUUUCGGGUGGGAAUGGCCGGUCCGCCGUUUCGGUGUGCACUUGCUACGCCCACCUUGCUGCCGGGGACGUGCUCUUGAGUUCACGCUCGGGACACGGAGUCGGCGAGGUUACUUUGAGUAAAUUAGAGUGUUCAAAGCAGGCCUACGCUCUGAAUACAUUAGCAUGGAAUAACACGAUAGGACUCUGGCCUAUCUUGUUGGUCUGUAGGACCGGAGUAAUGAUUAAGAGGGACAGUCGGGGGCAUUCGUAUUGCGGUGUUAGAGGUGAAAUUCUUGGAUCAUCGCAAGACGAACAACUGCGAAAGCAUUUGCCAAGCAUGUUUUCAUUAG
rnacentral:rRNA from 1 species